rnacentral:lncRNA from 1 species
CUGGAAGCAUUUUGUCUUGAAUUUCUUGUGAUAAAUCAUCUAUUUUAUCCUUCAGCUGAUCGGACAUUGACUGUAUCUUAUCUGCAACACUUUCCACAUACUCUACAGCUACGUUGAUUUCAUUUAUAAGGUUGUUGGCUUCAUUAAGGAUGUCAUUCCCUUCCUGCAGACUCUUCUCAACACCUUGUCUGCCAUCUUCUACAGCUUGCUUCCUUAUCUCUACCAUGGUCAUGUUACUUUGGUUGACUGCAGAUAAACGAUUAGCCUCUCUAAUUUUAUCCAUAGCGUCUCUGAGCAGAUCUCGAGCAUCGUCAACUUUCGUGUGGUAGUUUGCUAGCUUGUCCCGGACUUCAUUUUUGAGAUCCUCAUUUUUCUCACUGGGCUCUCCAAAUAAUUUCUUCACUUUGUUCAAAAGAUCUUCUGCAUUCUUGAACUCAUCUUGAGCCAUUCUUUCUUGCAUAUUCAGCUUUUUACUUCUCAUCUCUGUGACCAUUCUG